rnacentral:rRNA from 1 species
GAUGAACGCUGGCGGCGUGCCUAACACAUGCAAGUCGAGCGCGGUCCCUUUGGUGCUUGCACCAAAGACGACUGAGCGGCGACGGGUGAGUAACGCGUGAGGAACCUGCCUCAAAGAGGGGGACAACAGUUGGAAACGACUGCUAAUACCGCAUAAGCCCACGACCCGGCAUCGGGUUGAGGGAAAAGGAGCAAUCCGCUUUGAGAUGGCCUCGCGUCCGAUUAGCUGGUUGGUGAGGUAACGGCCCACCAAGGCAACGAUCGGUAGCCGGACUGAGAGGUUGAACGGCCACAUUGGGACUGAGACACGGCCCAG